ensembl:lncRNA
CAAAGUUGAAUGAGAUGGAAAUCAUGACGCAAGCGGUUUACAAAUGUUUCGUGUUAGGCUAUAAAAAUGGAUGUUAUCAAACAAAACGAACAUUCACUGUGUAGUUAGGACACUUGUCAUUGCCACCAGAGGAAGAUCUUCAAUGGAUCUCGGUGCAACUUCUCUCUGCACACACCCUUGCUGCAUCCAGGUUCCUGUAGUGAUGUCUCGGAGUUGUACAUGAUCUCCAGGUUUCAGUUCAGGAAGAAAACCGUUACAGAAUCACCCACCACAACAGGACCAAGCGGCGUGGUGACAGGCAGCGGCAGCAGGAGCAGUGAAGUAUGGAUUAUACUACUUGGGAGGAAAUAGACAGGUGGGCGGUUGACCCAGGGAGAGUGCCGGAGCCCGCAUGGGAUUUGCUGGAGCAGUGCAGGGAACGUUAUAGGAGAAUGGAGUUGGAGAGAUAAACACGGCGGCGUGGAUGGAAGCCGGAGAGUCAGCCCCAAAAAUUUCUUGGGGGGGCACAGGGAGAGUGUGGCAGAGUCAGGAGUCAGACCUGAGCCAACUCCCCCUGUUUAUCGUAAGGAGCCAAGGAGGAAACCAGAACCAGAGCCGGUGUUGGAGGUGAGCGAAGCAGAGACUGUGAAGGAGUUAAUGGGGAAAUUGGAGGAGAGAGUUAUGAGGGAGUUGCUGUGUUGGUACAUGAGGCACGUAAUUCGUCCGACGGAGAGUGUCGGGGAUUUGAUGGCACCUGGGUCAGCGCUCCAUACUCGUCCUGAGGUGCGUGCUAGUCGGCUGGUGAAGAUUGUGCCAGCCUCAUGCACCAGGCCUCCUGUGCAC